GGUUGUAGCUCAGGGGUAGAGCACAUGCCUAGCAUGUGGGAGGCACUGGGUUUGAUCCUCAGCACCA
rnacentral:tRNA from 1 species